CCUUUCGAUGUUCUGGGCCGCACGCGCGCUACACUGAUCAGUGCAACAAGCAUCCGUCCUUGGCCGACAGGCCCGGGCAAUCUUUGAACGCUGAUCGUGAUGGGGAUAGACUUUUGCAAUUUUUGGUCUUCAACGAGGAAUUCCUAGUAAACGCAAGUCAUCAACUUGCAUUGAUUACGUCCCUGCCCUUUGUACACACCGCCCGUCGCACCUACCGAUUGAAUGGUCCGGUGAAGCCUCCGGAUUGGCGUGCACCCUCGGGUGCUGCCGAGAAGUUGGCUAAACCUUACCAUUUAGAGGAAGGUGAAGUCGUAACA
rnacentral:rRNA from 1 species